GGGAAACUUCUAGAGGGUAUUUAAACCCCAGAACACUCUAUAACAAGGCUUUUUAGCCGUUUGCUUAGGCUUGUUUCAUAGCCUGUGAAGUGUGCUUUCGUUUUCAAUAAAUCUCUGCUUUCGUUGUUUAAUUCGUUCCUUGCUUUGUUUAUGCGUUUUGACCAAUUCUUUGUUCAAAACACCAAGAACCUGGACACCCUCCACCAGUAAUAGAAGUUAAAGGGAACCGUUAACUUUGAAAAGUCAAAUGCCAUUUCCAAGGGGCUCAAAAUUGAUUUUCCAUGUUGUCAUUUACUGGAGCUUUACUGAAGAGGAUCUGGUCAGUGUGAUAAGUCUCAGCUUCGGUGCCACCUCUUCCGAGAAGCCCUCCGUGACCACCUCCACUGUUCCCACCACUCACCCUGUUGAUUUCCUCCACGGAACAAAGGAAGAGUCUCGGAAGGUUCCACUGCUGUGUUUGACAGAGUGAUUUGAUGACGGAUUCAUCAGACACAGGAGAAUAGAGGAGGCUGGGAGACCAGGUAAGAUGCUGCUCUACUUCUCCCGGUUCCAGCAAGGGAGAGCUUGAGCUAGGGAGGGUGAUGAUGGCCAGACUGCCAGACAAAUGAGCACCCCCACCCAGGACCAGAUGCCUGUUGUCUCAUUGUGGCUGAUGGGAUUGCUUUCUUCAACAUCACCAUCACGCCUUACAGGGAGAUGAGGGACGUGCCAGGAGGCUCCCCAUUCUAUUGGGUCCCCCAUCUCCAAUUUGCAUCAAAGGUUCUUCAUCAAGUUCUAUUCAAGAUUUUUUUAGUGAUGUUCUGCUAAAACUAUUUCAGUUGGAAAUCAUUGGCAGAAAGCCAUAGUCCCCCUUUCAUUUCCA